GUGGGGGAUGANGUUCUAUGGAGCGUAACCCCUGUAAGUAGGGACGAAUGAUAGGCAUUCGAAUAGGGUGCUUAUGUGACGGUACCUGCGGAGUAAGCUCCGGCUAACUCCGUGCCAGCAGCCGCGGUAAUACGGGGGGAGCAAGCGUUGUCCGGAAUUACUGGGCGUAAAGGGCGUGUAGGCGGUUUAAUAAGUCAGAUGUAAAAGCCCCCGGCUCAACCGGGGAUGGUCAUUUGAAACUGUUAGGCUUGAGUGUGAGAGAGGGUAGUGGAAUUCCCAGUGUAGCGGUGAAAUGCGUAGAUAUUGGGAAGACACCAGUAGCGAGGCGGCUACCUGGCUCACAACUGACGCUAAG
rnacentral:rRNA from 1 species